rnacentral:rRNA from 1 species
CCUACGGGUGGCAGCAGUGAGGAAUAUUGGUCAAUGGGCGAAAGCCUGACGCAGCGACGCCGCGUGAGGGAUGAAGGUCUUCGGAUCGGAAACCUCUGUCAGCAGGGAAGAACGGUCACUGUGCUAAUCAGCAGUGAAUUGACGGUACCUGCAAAGGAAGCACCGGCUAACUCCGUGCCAGCAGCCGCGGUAAUACGGAGGGUGCGUGCGUUAAUCGGAAUUACUGGGCGUAAAGCGCUCGUAGGCGGUAUGUCAAGUCAAGGGUGAAAUCCCCGCGCCUAACGUGGGAACUGCCUUUGAAACUGGCAAACUGGAGUUUGUGAGAGGAUGGUGGAAUUCCAGGUGUAGGAGUGAAAUCCGUAGAUAUCUGGAGGAACAUCAGUGGCGAAGGCGACUAUCUGGCACAUAACUGACGCUGAGGAGCGAAAGCGUGGGUAGCAAACAGGAUUAGAUACCCUUGUAGUC